rnacentral:rRNA from 1 species
UUGGAGGGCAAGUCUGGUGCCGCAGCCGCGGUAAUUCCAGCUCCAAUAGCGUAUAUUAAAGUUGUUGCAGUUAAAAAGCUCGUAGUUGAAUUUCGGGGUUAGUAGGUUGGUCAUGCCUCUGGUAUGUACUGGUCUCACUGAUUCCUCCUUCCUGAUGAACCUUAAUGCCAUUUAUUUGGUGUUUUGGGGAAUUUGGACUGUUACUUUGAAAAAAUUAGAGUGUUUAAAGCAAGCUAACGCUUGAAUACAUUAGCAUGGAAUAAUGAAAUAGGACGUUCGAUCCUAUUUUGUUGGUUUCUAGGAUUGACGUAAUGAUUAAUAGGGAUAGUUGGGGGCAUUAGUAUUCAAUUGUCAGAGGUGAAAUUCUUGGAUUUAUUGAAGACUAACUACUGCGAAAGCAUUUGCCAAGGAUGUUUUCAUUAAUCAAGAACGAAAGUUAGGGGAUCGAAGACGAUCAGAUACCGUCGUAGUCUUAACCAUAAACUAUGCCGACUAGGGAUCGGAUGAUGUUAAUUUUUUAAUGACUCAUUCGGCGCCUUACGGGAAACCAAAGUGUUUGGGUUC